rnacentral:rRNA from 1 species
GACGAACGCUGGCGGCGUGCUUAACACAUGCAAGUCGAACGGAAAGGCCCGGCUUUUGUGGGGUGCUCGAGUGGCGAACGGGUGAGUAACACGUGAGUAACCUGCCCUUGACUUUGGGAUAACUUCAGGAAACUGGGGCUAAUACCGGAUAGGAGCUCCUGCUGCAUGUUGGUGGUGGGAGAGUUUCGGCGGUUGGGGAUGGUCUCGCGGGUUAUCAGCUUGUUGGUGGGGUAGUGGCUUACCAAGGCUUUGACGGGUAGCCGGCCUGAGAGGGUGACCGGCCACAUUGGGACUGAGAUACGGCCCAGACUCCUACGGGAGGCAGCAGUGGGGAAUAUUGCACAAUGGGCGGAAGUCUUAUGCAGAAACGCCGCGUGCGGGAUGACGGCCUUCGGGUUGUAAACCGCUUUCGCCUGUGACGAAGCGUGAGUGACGGUAAUGGGUAAAGAAGCACCGGCUAACUACGUG